rnacentral:pre_miRNA from 1 species
GAAACACCCCUCCGGGGCAAGACUUGCUUCAGUGGGGCUUUGGUGCUCACUGAGUCUGCCCCAUGAGUGUAUCCUU